rnacentral:rRNA from 1 species
UACGUAGGGGGCAAGCGUUGUCCGGAAUCAUUGGGCGUAAAGCGCGUGUAGGCGGUUCCGUAAGUCCGCUCUGAAAGCCCAGGGCUCAACCCUGGGAGGCGGGUGGAUACUACGGAACUGGAGUACGGAAGAGGAGAUUGGAAUUCCUGGUGUAGCGGUGAAAAUGCGCAGAUAUCAGGAGGAACACCAACAGCGAAGGCAGAUCUCUGGGACGUUACUGACGCUGAGACGCGAAAGCGUGGGGAGCAAACAGG